AGCACCACAAGAAGGAACGAAGCACAACGGUCACUCGUCAGCUAAUUUAAAUCGGCGCAGUUUUAUGAGAAUCAGAGACGGAGAAUUACACUGCAAAACAACGCGUUUUCCUCUAUGUAAACAGACAGCAGUUUAUCAAGGGGCUGAUGGACAGAACGUUUGCUCUACGGAGGCACGAGGUGGUAGAAGAUUCACCUUUCAUUGCUGAAUUCAAGAACAGAUGGCCAGCACUCUUUACUGAGCAAGAGGUAUCUGCGGAAUUCAGCAGGAUUACAAUUCCUUUGGUGUCCAAAUUCAUGGGUCAGCUUGAUCGUUUCUCCACCCAGCUCCUCAAAAGUUUCAAAAAGAAAGGAGGAGCCGCCGCACAGAAGAUCUCAGACAUCCUGUCAGUUACGAUACAUAGCAAUGUUCUUUGGCCUGUGGUGGACUAGGCCUCCUCAAAUGUGACCUGGAUUAGCUUGUUGGCAGCUAUAUUUUCUAAAUCUGGCAUUGGAAUAAGAAACACAAAGACUGCAGACAACAUCUAAAAUAGUGUUUAUUCAGGGUAUCAAACAUCAAGUUAUGAAAGAUAACUGGAUUGGUCAAACCAGUUUUCUGCCAGGUUUAUGAUUUUAGGAUAGAGUGCCCUCUAGUGGUUGUGUGUACACAUGCACACGCUACCCCAAGGCACACAGAGCAGACAGAAGACAGACAGAAUACUACACAUAUUCAGCAGCUCACACAUGCGGCCUGAAAAUGGUUAAUUUGCUGCAGCCAGUCUGGAAUCGGCCAGAGAGUAGAGAGAGUUUGUUAUUUCUAGGUGAGAACUGGCGAAUAAAAGCAUGUUGUAGAUUUCAGUAGAAUCCUUCUGGGGAAGAUCAGCCAGGUUGUACAAUACAAAUGUCAAAUCAUACAAAUGGCCAAGGUCCGCUCCAUCCUGGAUGAUAGAGUGUGACUGUUAGCGUGGGAAGAGGGGCAUUGAACAGGAGUAUCUCAGGCAUUUUAAAUUCAAGAAUAUGAUUAACAAAGGAUAGGAGUAGCCAAGUUAAGGAAUCUUAGACUGUGGGUGGGUGGCAUUUACAGGUUACUAAGAAUGUGUGAGUAGGCAGGGUAUGAGAAGAGACAAGUGUGGAUUAGGGUUUAGAGCCUCAAACCAGCUCAGGAUGUUAACCAGUGGCUAGUUAGUCAUCUGGAAAUAAAGGAUGGUUCCAGUGUGACACUCAAUUAUUCAAACAUAUUGAAAGGGAAUUCAUUUCACAUUAAACCGACAUAUCCCCAAAAAUCAAAUAUUAUAAAAAAGAUUUACCUCUACAUUAUGAACAGGGACAGCUAAAUCCAAAGGAUUUGAUUCUACAAAUAAAUAAAGUAUUAAAGUAAAAAAACCACAACAAAGUGCCACUAAAGCCACAUUAAGCAAAUAGCUAAUAGUAAGCUAUUAAGUGUAUGAAUUCUAUUUAGAAUUGAUGUUGUAUAAAUGAUCACAAUUGGAAACAUACCUUGUGACUUUGACAUUAAUCGUUUUGAAAGAUAAGUCAGUAACACCAGCAGGAAGAACAUCAGCAGCCCAAAGGUUGAUCCAAGCUAAAUUCUGCCACUGCCAAGUGUGCCUGUUUAGAAAAUGUCAGGUUUGGUUUAAUUAGAUUAUGUUUUGCCCCAGCAAACCAUACUAAGGAUAAGAGACUCACAUUCUGUCAUUAACACAGGGGCAGUUACUUCAGCCUCAAUGCUAUUUUAUAUCAACAGCUAGAAAGGAAGAAGGCAUAUUAAUGCAUUGUACAGCUUAAACCACAGGAAGUGGUCACACCAGACAAGCUCAAAAUGACUAUAAAUUAAAACAUGGCAUAUGAUUUAGUUGCUAGGACUUUCAUUUUAAGUAAAAUACUGGCAUUAUAGCAAUUUCACUGAGGUAAAUAGAUGCAUGUUUCACUGAAAUCUCAGUGCAUAAACCAGGAACCUCAGGGGCCCCACUACCUCUCAGUAACAGUGCAGUUCUUCUAGCUCAGCUAAACUCUGCCUCCGGAACCUGUUUGCAAAAGACAGCCCACUGCAGAGUUAGCAAACCUGCUUCAAUGAUGUCCCAGUGACUUAGACAGCAAAGGUCUUGUUUAACUUAUUUUUAAAUGCAAAUUUGCACAUUAUCACAAGUAAUUAAUUUGAAAACCUUGAGGAAUAAAUACACAAUUUAAAUCGUACAGUAUGUGGGUACUGUGUAUUACACAUAAGGGAUUCAGUCAGGGCUUUGAUAAACAAUGAGUGAGGAUAAACUUAUUAUCCUGUAUUUAAAAGAAUUAAUUCAGCAAGCCUAUCUUGAUACUGUCACGAUCGCAGGCUGACGACGCAGCGAUCGUGCGGGUCGCCCGACAGGAACAGGCAGACAAGGCGAAUUCAAGGCAAACCCGGGGUUUAUUUGGGAGAUCCGGGACAGGGAACAUAGGACGGCUACUGACAUCAAUGACGGACCCCGCUAACAGGGACGGCGACACCAGUACUUCGCAACAUAUAUGUAAUCAGACGGAUACGGACAGUCGAUGUCCACUUCUCCUCCUACAUAUCCCCGCACUUCAUUGAUCUUCAACGCCAGUACAAACGGCAGC